ACACGUAGGGGGCGAGCGUUGUUCGGAAUCAUUGGGCGUAAAGGGCGUGCAGGCGGUCCUGCAAGUCCGGCGUGAAAGACCCCGGCCCAACCGGGGGGACGCGCUGGAAACUGCCGGGCUUGAGGACAGGAGGGGAUGGCGGAAUUCCAGGGGUAGGGGUGAAAUCUGUAGAUAUCUGGAAGAACACCAAUGGCGAAGGCAGGCAUCUGGCCAUGUACUGACGCUGAGACGCGAAGGUGCGGGGAGCAAACAGGUUUAGAUACCCUGGUAGUCCGCACAGUAAACGAUGUGCACCAGGUGGCGGGGGGUCGACCCCCGGUACCGUAGCUAACGCAUUAAGUGCACCGCCCGGGGAGUAUGCUCGCAAGGGUGAAACUCAAAUGAAUUGACGGGG
rnacentral:rRNA from 1 species